GCUCUGGUGGUCUAGUGGUAUGAUUCUCGCUUAGGGUUCUAACUCCUGAGCACGAUUGCGAGAGGUCCCGCGUUCAAUCCGCGGCUAGAGCC
rnacentral:tRNA from 4 species